ACAGCAGUCGCCGCGGGAAAACGUAGGUGGCAAGCGUUGUCCGGAAUUAUUGGGCGUAAAGGGCUCGCAGGCGGUUUCUUAAGUCUGAUGUGAAAGCCCCCGGCUCAACCGGGGAGGGUCAUUGGAAACUGGGAAACUUGAGUGCAGAAGAGGAGAGUGGAAUUCCACGUGUAGCGGUGAAAUGCGUAGAGAUGUGGAGGAACACCAGUGGCGAAGGCGACUCUCUGGUCUGUAACUGACGCUGAGGAGCGAAAGCGUGGGGAGCGAACAGGAUUAGAUACCCCCGUAGUCCCUGUCUCUUAUAC
rnacentral:rRNA from 1 species